GACGAACGCUGGCGGCGUGCUUAACACAUGCAAGUCGAACGAUGAAGUCUAGCUUGCUAGGUGGAUUAGUGGCGAACGGGUGAGUAAUACGUGAGUAACCUACCUUUAACUCUGGGAUAAGCCUGGGAAACUGGGUCUAAUACCGGAUACGACCAAUCUCCGCAUGGGGUGUUGGUGGAAAGCGUUAUGUAGUGGUUAUAGAUGGGCUCACGGCCUAUCAGCUUGUUGGUGAGGUAACGGCUCACCAAGGCGACGACGGGUAGCCGGCCUGAGAGGGUGACCGGCCACACUGGGACUGAGGCACGGCCCAGGCUCCUACGGGAGGCAGCAGUGGGGAAUAUUGCACAAUGGGCGCAAGCCUGAUGCAGCGACGCCGCGUGAGGGAUGACGGCCUUCGGGUUGUAAACCUCUGUUAGCAGGGAAGAAGAGAGAUUGACGGUACCUGCAGAGAAAGCGCCGGCUAACUACGUGCCAGCAGCCGCGGUAAUACGUAGGGCGCGAGCGUUGUCCGGAAUUAUUGGGCGUAAAGAGCUUGUAGGCGGUUUGUCGCGUCUGCUGUGAAGGCCGGGGCUUAACCCCGUGUAUUGCAGUGGGUACGGGCAGACUAGAGUGCAGUAGGGGAGACUGGAAUUCUUGGUGUAGCGGUGGAAUGCGCAGAUAUCAGGAGGAGCACCGAUGGCGAAGGCAGGUCUCUGGGCUGUAACUGACGCUGAGAAGCGAAAGCAUGGGGAGCGAACAGGAUUAGAUACCCUGGUAGUCCAUGCCGUAAACGUUGGGCACUAGGUGUGGGGGACAUUCCACGUUUUCCGCGCCGUAGCUAACGCAUUAAGUGCCCCGCCUGGGGAGUACGGCCGCAAGGCUAAAACUCAAAGAAAUUGACGGGGGCCCGCACAAGCGGCGGAGCAUGCGGAUUAAUUCGAUGCAACGCGAAGAACCUUACCAAGGCUUGACAUAUACUGGACCGCAUCAGAGAUGGUGUUUCCCUUCGGGGCUGGUAUACAGGUGGUGCAUGGUUGUCGUCAGCUCGUGUCGUGAGAUGUUGGGUUAAGUCCCGCAACGAGCGCAACCCUCGUUCUAUGUUGCCAGCACGUUAUGGUGGGGACUCACAGGAGACUGCCGGGGUCAACUCGGAGGAAGGUGGGGAUGACGUCAAAUCAUCAUGCCCCUUAUGUCUUGGGCUUCACGCAUGCUACAAUGGCCGGUACAGAGGGUUGCGAUACUGUGAGGUGGAGCUAAUCCCUAAAAGCCGGUCUCAGUUCGGAUUGGGGUCUGCAACUCGACCCCAUGAAGUCGGAGUCGCUAGUAAUCGCAGAUCAGCAACGCUGCGGUGAAUACGUUCCCGGGCCU
rnacentral:rRNA from 1 species